ensembl:lncRNA
CAGACAUGAGCAUCCCGUUUUUGGGAAUGAAGACAGAGCAGUCCAGAAGUUUAAAGAAGUGGUUCAGGCCAUGCAUUGAACCUGACCUGAGAAGACUCUACUCACACACCAGAGCACUGACCUGUUCUGGAGGACUUCUGACCGGAGGUGGAGGUCUGGCUCUGGGUGAGGAGGUGGAGGUCUUGCUCUGGCAUGACGUAACACAUCUCAGGAAGUGGUGGUGCUCCACUUUGUUGGAGAAUCUUCAUACUGAAGGUCAUUGCAGACGGUUUGCUCAUUUCACGGAGGAGGGCAGAGAGAUGGCAAGAGGAACUCUACCACCUAUCUUCGGCAUCCCGAGGAAGCGCAAAGUGUCCAAAAUGGAGGAGACAUAAUAUUUGUCUUUUCUUUAUUUCUUUACUUUUUAUUGGUAUAUUUGAAGAGAAGAGCAGAAAAUAAAAUUGAUUAUAAUGGAUACCAAUUCCAAGAAACAUUAUUUGAAUCGAAAUGAAAUCAUAUAUUGAUGGUUAUUAAG